rnacentral:rRNA from 1 species
GAUGAACGCUGGCGGCGUGCCUAAUACAUGCAAGUUGAGCGCUGAAGGUUGGUACUUGUACCGACUGGAUGAGCAGCGAACGGGUGAGUAACGCGUGGGGAAUCUGCCUUUGAGCGGGGGACAACAUUUGGAAACGAAUGCUAAUACCGCAUAAAAACUUUAAACACAAGUUUUAAGUUUGAAAGAUGCAAUUGCAUCACUCAAAGAUGAUCCCGCGUUGUAUUAGCUAGUUGGUGAGGUAAAGGCUCACCAAGGCGAUGAUACAUAGCCGACCUGAGAGGGUGAUCGGCCACAUUGGGACUGAGACACGGCCCAAACUCCUACGGGAGGCAGCAGUAGGGAAUCUUCGGCAAUGGACGAAAGUCUGACCGAGCAACGCCGCGUGAGUGAAGAAGGUUUUCGGAUCGUAAAACUCUGUUGGUAGAGAAGAACGUUGGUGAGAGUGGAAAGCUCAUCAAGUGACGGUAACUACCCAGAAAGGGACGGCUAACUACGUG